rnacentral:rRNA from 2 species
AUGAUUUUAAAUAAUUAAAUGGCUGCGGUAUAAUUGACUGUACAAAGGUAGCAUAAUCAAUUGUUUUUUAAUUAAAAACUGGAAUGAAAGAGUUAAUGAGAUAUACACUGUCUCAUAUAUAUUAAAUUAAUUUAAAUUUUUAGUUAAAAUGCUAAAAUUAGUUUAUGGGACGAUAAGACCCUAUAGAAUUUUAUAUUAAUAUUUUAAUUAUAAUUUUAUUAUUGAAUAUUAAUAUUUUGUUGGGAGGAUAGGUAAAUUUAUUAAACUUUAUUUUAAAUAUUAACUUUAAUUAAAGAAUAUAUUUUGAUCUUUUAGUAAAAAUGAAAAGAGUAAAUUACCUUAGGGAUAACAGCGUAAUAUCUUUUUAAAGAUCUUAUUGAAAAAGAUGAUUGCGACCUCGAUGUUGAAUUAAGAUAAAUUUUAAAUGAAGAAAUUUAAUAAUUAAGUCUGUUCGACUUUUAAAAUCUUACAUGAUUUGAGUUCAAAUCGACGUGAGUCAGAUUG